GACGAACGCUGGCGGCGUGCUUAACACAUGCAAGUCGAACGGAAAGGCCCUGCUUGCAGGGUACUCGAGUGGCGAACGGGUGAGUAACACGUGGGUGAUCUGCCCUGCACUUCGGGAUAAGCCUGGGAAACUGGGUCUAAUACCGGAUAGGAGCCAUUUUUAGUGUGAUGGUUGGAAAGUUUUUUCGGUGUAGGAUGAGCUCGCGGCCUAUCAGCUUGUUGGUGGGGUAAUGGCCUACCAAGGCGGCGACGGGUAGCCGGCCUGGGUAGGUGGACGGCCACAUUGGGACCGAGGUAAGGCCCCGGUUCCGACGGGAGGGAGAAGGGGGGAAGAUUGCAGGAUGGGCGCAAGGCUGAUGAAGAGAGGCCGCGUGGGGGAUGACGGCCUUAGGGUUGUAAACUACUUUCGCUAGGGACGAAGCUUUUUGUGACGGUACCUAGAUAAGAAGCACCGGCUAACUACGUG
rnacentral:rRNA from 1 species